rnacentral:misc_RNA from 1 species
GAUGAAGAACGUAGCGAAAUGCGAUACUUGGUGUGAAUUGCAGAAUCCCGUGAACCAUCGAGUCUUUGAACGCAAGUUGCGCCCGAAGCCAUCAGGUUGAGGGCACGUCUGCCUGGGCGUCACAUAUCGUUGCCCAAUGCCUAUUGCAGUGCAAUAGGAAUUUCUAGGGCGAAUGAUGGCUUCCCGUGAGCGUUGUUGCCUCGCGGUUGGUUGAAAAUCGAGUCCCUGGUAGGGUGUGCCAUGGUAGAUGGUGGUCGAGUUAGAACGAUACCGAUCAUGUGCAUGCUCCCCAAAAUAUGGCCUCUAUGACCCACACGCGUCUUUUGACGCUCAUGACGAGACCUCAGGUCAGGCGGGGCUACCCGCUGAAUUUAAGCAUAUCAAUAAGCGGAGGA